ensembl:rRNA 5S_rRNA 5S ribosomal RNA
GCUUACGGCCAUACCACCCUGAGCAAGCCCGAUCUCGUCUGAUCUCGAAAGCUAAGCAGGGUCGGGCCUGGUUAGUACUUGGAUGGGAGACGGCCUGGGAAUACCAGGUGAUUUAAGCU